rnacentral:piRNA from 1 species
CUCAGCAUUAUUUAGUCAGCCAGCUU